CUCUGCCAACACCUUGAUCUCAGAUUUCUAGCCUCCAAAGGUUAUACCAUGCAGUUUCUCAAAACUAUUUCAAGGACAUGUUGGAAGGAACUGGAGGUUGCAGUUGACUCUGUUGUAGCCUUGCCAGCAUACGUUUUCUGGACUGAAAGCACCUGUCUCUCACUUUCUAGGCAAAGAAAAUGAAGUCAUAAAAUCGGGAACCUGCAUUUGCUUCCAGGAAUUGUCAACAUCCUUUAACCUGAAGAACUGUUUCAAAGGGACGUGUGGAGUUGGCCAGAACUAUCCUUAAGCAGUACUUUAUAUUUAUCCAGAUAAUUAGCUGAAACCUUCAAUUUUCAUGUCAUAGAUUUAAUAGAUAAUUUAGUCUUUAAAAUUCUAAAGCUAGUGUUAGACAUUAGCUAGUUUAAUUGAGAUAGAAAUUAAUUAAGCUGACUAACUUAGGGCUGCCAUAAAAUGUUAGCUAUAAAGAGUUCUGCCCCCACUCCCAGGUUAUUGAAUAAAUUAUCUUACAUAGUCCUUUCUAAGACUGUAGUCAAAAUUAUUAUGUGAAGUUUUAUAAGCAAUAAUACUAGGCUAUUUUUCCGUUAUUCAUUUUCUUGUCAAGCAAUUACUUUUAACUGAUUUUUAAACAAUUUUUAAUCAGUGGACUCCAGAAAAGAAAUGGUUUUAGUUUUCU